rnacentral:rRNA from 1 species
GACGAACCGUGCGAACGUUGUUCGGAAUCACUGGGCUUAAAGGGCGCGUAGGCGGACUCUCAAGUCUGUGGUGAAAUCCCCCGGCUCAACCGGGGAACUGCCGUGGAUACUGGGAGUCUCGAGGGGUGUAGGGGCAUGCGGAACUUCGGGUGGAGCGGUGAAAUGCGUAGAUAUCCGAAGGAACGCCGGUGGCGAAAGCGGCGUGCUGGACACCUUCUGACGCUGAGGCGCGAAAGCCAGGGGAGCAAAGCGGG